rnacentral:misc_RNA from 1 species
GAUGAAGAACGUAGCGAAAUGCGAUAAUUAAUGUGAAUUGCAGAAUUCAGUGAAUCAUCGAAUCUUUGAACGCACAUUGCGCCCCCUGGUAUUCCGGGGGGCAUGCCUGUCCGAGCGUCAUUACAACCCUCAAGCUCAGCUUGGUGUUGGGCCCCGCCGCCCCGGCGGGCCCUAAAGUCAGUGGCGGUGCCGUCCGGCUCCGAGCGUAGUAAUUCUUCUCGCUCUGGAGGUCCGGUCGUGUGCUCGCCAGCAACCCCCAAUUUUUUUCAGGUUGACCUCGGAUCAGGUAGGGAUACCCGCUGAACUUAAGCAUAUAAAUAAGCGGAGGA